GUUGAAUUGAUUCAGUGGGACUUUUAGUUUAGGAAGAGGACGUUAUUUCACUUAAAGCAGAACUGCAACCGUGCUGCUGGAUAUAGGGCCUCGCCUUACCAGUCUCCAGGCACACCUGCUUUGGGGCCAAGGAUAAGUCAAGCAAGAGAACAGCUCGAAGCCGGCAGCAUCCAGAGUUCAUCCUUCAACUCUGAAAAUGAAGGCAACAUUUCCUCCGAAGCUUCUGUUGACUUUCAGAGGAG